UUCGUUUGCUUGAAUCACUUUGUGCUAUUCACAAUUCUUGGACCUUGCAUAAUGCUCGUAACUUUUGUCAGCUUCAGUUUAUUUGCCUUAAAGAGCUGCAAUGAGGUUCAGUCCCGGUUGCUUGAUCGCCCUGAUCACAUUAUUGGUGCAUUAUACAACCGCAAUAAAUAUACAUUGCCCGCCAUGGCCAAAUUGCCACAUUCUCGGUCUGUGCUGCCAGCGCACAGGCCUUGACGCAGAAUCAGCUAAAGAUUAACACCUAACACAGCGAAAUGUUAUUCCAAGUGCACAAUAAAAAAUAAAAUUUACCAAUGAAAGUAAGAGAAA